rnacentral:rRNA from 1 species
CCCUUAGAUGUUCUGGGCCGCACGCGUGCUACACUGAGUGGAUCAGCGGGUCAGGUUGCGCGAAAGUGUUUCCUAAUCUUUAAAUCCGCUCGUGAUGGGGAUUGACGGUUGCAAUUUUCCGUCAUGAACGAGGAAUACCUUGUAAGCGCGGGUCAUCAUCCCGCGCUGAAUACGUCCCUGCCCUUUGUACACACCGCCCGUCGCUCCUACCGAUUGAGUGGUCCGGUGAGGCUUUGGGAUCUGAGCGGAAAGAGCGUUUCGCUGUUUCUGCUCGGAAAACUCAGUCGAACCUUAUCAUUUAGAGGAAGGAGAAGUCGGAACA